CCUGCCAGAGACUUGCUGUUACAGAUUAUGGGAGACCAUGUCAGAAAUGCAAAGAAUCCCGCCAAAGCCAUUUCUCUGGGACGGCUCGAGCCCUGGCUCAGGAAAUAAGACAGAACUCUUGCCCAUGAGCUGUCCCAAUUCGGAUUAUUCCAAUGAACUCCAUGGAGCUGUGGUCACUAUUUCUGAUAUUCUUGGCUCCCCCUGCCUCCCAGAGUGUGUUGUGAACAAAUCAAAGCUGAGCCAUUCCAGCACACGAAUAGGCCAAAGCCUCGGAUGACUGCUUUUUAUAAUACUCUUUAUUUGAUUAAAGAAUUUGUAUUCUUUGUGUACACUGGAAUGUGUUCUAUUCCCUAAGUCAUUAUUAUACAGGGUUACAAAAAAAAUUUUUUUUUUUAAAUAUUACCCCCAAAGUAAUUUAAGAAAAAUGCUCCUUUGAUGUUUGAAACUAAACUUGACUCCAUUUUAAAAUCAUACAGACAAGCAACUCUUGAACACAAUUGAAUUAAGAUUCAUAGUCUACUUAACUACAGGACAGGAUUUGCUUCCCCUCCCCCAGAACACAUUACCAUCGCAUGAAAAGAAUUGGAGCUACGUUUCCUCACUGAUGCAUUUAAGGGAACAGGGGAGAGACAGCUAACUUCUUUGGCAGGUGACCCUACAAGCAUUGGUGUGCACUUAGUCUCAAACAGGUGUUCUCCCGCUGGAGCACAGUGCACACAUUUCUAGGACUUCCAUUUG